GGGUCAGUAGGUUGGUCGUGCCACCGGUACGUACUGGUCUCACUGAUUCCUCCUUCCUGAAGAACCGUAAUGCCAUUAAUUUGGUGUUGCGGGGAAACAGGACUGUUACUUUGAAAAAAUUAGAGUGUUUAAAGCAAGCUAACGCUUGAAUACAUUAGCAUGGAAUAAUGAAAUAGGACGAUCGAUCCUAUUUUGUUGGUUUCUAGGAUUGACGUAAUGAUUAAUAGGGAUAUUGGA
rnacentral:rRNA from 1 species